rnacentral:rRNA from 1 species
AAGUCGUAACAAGGUUUUCGUAGG